ensembl:lincRNA linc-92 ncRNA
CGUUUUCUCACUCCAACUCGCACAGACACAAUCUGAUAACAAAAAUAAAACCAAUGUGUUUAAAGAAACCGUGACAUAUUCUGUGAUUUGAUAUAUCAUUUCAAUCGUUCAAGACCUCAUAAGAUUCUAUUCAUUAUUCCAUACGGAAAGGUUGGCAAAAAAUCAAAAUUCCCGCCCAUUCCUACAUUUUAUCGGUGGUUCAUGCCCUCUAGGCAGUCAGUUGAUUGUUUCGGUUUCAAGAGGUCAGAAGCCUAGUCUCAUGGAAGUUCCUGAGCUCAUUGAUGAUUCGUCAAUUCAAAGAAAGGUUAAUUCUUUUGGCUUUUUAGGCUUUUAAGGCUUUUGUGUAGUCUGUAAAUUGUACGGAUAAAUUGUAGUUUGUU